rnacentral:lncRNA from 1 species
CAACUAUACCAUCAAUUGUACCACAAACAAUAAACGUAUCACUCACUCUAACUUCCUUCAAUUCUGCAAUAGACUUCUUUAGAUGGAGAUGCAAGAAAUCUUCAUCUAUCGAUGGUUUACCCCUUGGACCAAUAAGCGGCACAGUGGGCUACUUUCGAUUGAAUUAACAUCCAAACUGAUACAAUAUGCAGAUAUUGAGGCGUAAACAAACGCAACACAUACAUAUUUAAUUAAUGUGUAUCAGAAUCUGAACAUAUAUUAAAAAUCACGACAAUCCAAAUAAAAUAACUAACCCUUAAAUUCAGCAGCCUCUGAUAUAUCCG